rfam:Myotis lucifugus cont2.10263, whole genome shotgun sequence.
GAGACACCCCUCCGGGGCUAGACUUGCUUCAAUGGGGCUUUGGUGCUCACUGAGUCUGCCCCCUGAGUGUGUCUUU